rnacentral:tRNA from 1 species
GAGGUUGUGGCUCAGUGGCAGAGCACUUGCCUGGCAUGUGUGAGGCACUGGGUUCAGUUCUUAGCACCUCA